rnacentral:rRNA from 1 species
UGCCAGCCGCCGCGGUAAUACUGAAGGUGCAAGCGUUAAUCGGAAUUACUGGGCGUAAAGCGCGCGUAGGCGGCUAAGCAAGUUAGAGGUGAAAGCCCCGGGCUCAACCUGGGAAUUGCCUUUAAUACUGUUUGGCUUGAGUUCGGAAGAGGGAAGUGGAAUUUCCAGUGUAGAGGUGAAAUUCGUAGAUAUUGGAAAGAACACCAGUGGCGAAGGCGGCUUCCUGGUCCGAUACUGACGCUGAGGUGCGAAAGCGUGGGGAGCAAACAGGAUUAGAUA